rnacentral:lncRNA from 13 species
UGAAUGAUUGCAGUUGUAGCAGGGAGAACUCAGUGAUUCAGGGAGGAAAACCUCAAGUUGGGGGUAGAGUGACUGGAAAAUUCAUUUGGUUGCUUUAAAAGAUCAUCUUAACUCUGGCUCAAGAUUCACAUUUCCCACUUGUGUCUUGUCUUCAAAAAUAAAAAAGAGGAAACCACCAAUGAGAACAUGUGGUGUUAUAAAUCAUUCUGACUAUUGUUAGAAAAAUGAGUAAGGGUUCUAAACAGUUUCAAAGGGUCCUGACCGGCUCUUUUCACUCACCUUGAGAAGAACCAUAAAAGUGAGAAAACAAAGGAAUUCUUUUUCUUUUUGGACACCCGUCAUCAGCAGUGUUCUCUUUGGGCUGCUGGCAUCUGGGCCCAGUUGCUGGGUUACAGGCAAAUAUAAUCAAAACAAACACUAAAAGGUACUCUUUUGGCUCUUAGCAUGUUGGAAAGGUCUUCUGCCUUCCAUCCUCUGCGUUAGCCAGUUCUCAGUGCAGAAAUGUCUUUCUUACUUGUCCUUCCCUUUUCUUCUUGCAGGACAACUUCUGAUCACAAACUUGUUGUGGAGGAGAAGAAGCCCUUAAUGAGGCCAUUAGAGCUUUAGACCUUUCUCCAACUUCCUGUUGAACGGCACCAGGAAUUUAACCUGUUUCCAGUCACUCUCUGUUAGUAGAAUUUACCACCCUACCCCCUCCUCUGAGAAUUGCCACCAGACCACCAGGGAUCAAAUGCGAUUUUGAAUAAGCCUCUUGUUCAAACUCUAUGGAUCCAGGUUUUUCAUCUGUAAAGUGGAAGUAAUGACGCUGAUAUCUCCCAGUUGUUGUUAUGAGAAGGUAUAUUUCUUCAAAGUUAUCCAGACACUGGCAACUUUUACGGAGGAAAGAAUUUCCAAAGGGAAGCCUUGUAACCUGAAAUAACCUUUCACAAGUGACGGUUGCUUCAUCAAAGAUCAGCUGUUGACCAACUUGGACAAGGCUAGGCUUUGCAAAGUCCCCACCACCAGUGAAGUCAUCCAGAGUCAGAAGGUCUAAAGAUACUGCGUAAGGGUGCUGCUUAAGCAUUUGUGGUUGCCGUUGCGUUCUGCCCAGUCCCAGCUGUUAGGCAGUAAUGAAGUGGCUAAAGUAUGGUUAAAGGCAGUGGUGGUUUCAGGACACUUUGAUCAUCUGUGGAAAUGUCUUCAAUUUGUUCUUUGGAGCCAAAGAUUAUUUUUAACAUAAGAAUGAACUAAUUAAGUGGUUAAAUUCAGAAUAAAUGACACAGAUUCAUAUAGGUUUUCA